UACGUAGGGUGCGAGCGUUGUCCGGAAUUAUUGGGCGUAAAGAGCUCGUAGGCGGCCUGUCGCGUCGGAUGUGAAAGCCCGGGGCUUAACCCCGGGUCUGCAGCCGAUACGGGCAAGCUAGAGUUCGGUAGGGGAGACUGGAAUUCCUGGUGUAGCGGUGAAAUGCGCAGAUAUCAGGAGGAACACCGGUGGCGAAGGCGGGUCUCUGGGCCGAAACUGACGCUGAGGAGCGAAAGCGUGGGGAGCAAACAGG
rnacentral:rRNA from 1 species